GACGAACGCUGGCGGCGUGCCUAAUACAUGCAAGUCGAACGCUUCUUUCCUCCCGAGUGCUUGCCCUCAAUUGGAAAGAGGAGUGGCGGACGGGUGAGUAACACGUGGGUAACCUACCCAUCAGAGGGGGAUAACACUUGGAAACAGGUGCUAAUACCGCAUAACAGUUUAUGCCGCAUGGCAUAAGAGUGAAAGGCGCUUUCGGGUGUCGUUGAUGGAUGGACCCGCGGUGCAUUAGCUAGUUGGUGAGGUAACGGCUCACCAAGGCCACGAUGCAUAGCCGACCUGAGAGGGUGAUCGGCCACACUGGGACUGAGACACGGCCCAGACUCCUACGGGAGGCAGCAGUAGGGAAUCUUCGGCAAUGGACGAAAGUCUGACCGAGCAACGCCGCGUGAGUGAAGAAGGUUUUCGGAUCGUAAAACUCUGUUGUUAGAGAAGAACAAGGACGUUAGUAACUGAACGUCCCCUGACGGUACCUAACCAGAAAGCCACGGCUAACUACGUG
rnacentral:rRNA from 1 species